CCAAGAAAAAUCCAGAGCUAGCCAUUAUAUCAGGAACGAAGAAGCCAGUCACUGUGCUCUGGAGAGACAAAUUGCACAUUUGACAUGCAGUCACUUUGUGUAGGAAACAUUACUUCUGAAGAGAAUGAUACCUGGUGUUCUUUAAAGUACAACAUUGGACAAACAAAAGAAAAUGGAGCUAAAUUAUUAUUGAUCACCCAAGAGUCCCUCUGAGCUUGCAGAAUGACAAAGAUUCUUUU
rnacentral:lncRNA from 1 species